rnacentral:rRNA from 1 species
UGACCGCUGGCGGCAGGCCUAACACAUGCAAGUCGAACGGUAACAGGAAGCAGCUUGCUGCUUUGCUGACGAGUGGCGGACGGGUGAGUAAUGUCUGGGAAACUGCCCGAUGGAGGGGGAUAACUACUGGAAACGGUAGCUAAUACCGCAUAACGUCGCAAGACCAAAGAGGGGGACCUUAGGGCCUCUUGCCAUCGGAUGUGCCCAGAUGGGAUUAGCUAGUAGGUGGGAUAACGGCUCACCUAGGCGACGAUCCCUAGCUGGUCUGAGAGGAUGACCAGCCGCACUGGAACUGAGACACGGUCCAGACUCCUACGGGAGGCAGCAGUGGGGAAUAUUGCACAAUGGGCGCAAGCCUGAUGCAGCCAUGCCGCGUGUAUGAAGAAGGCCUUCGGGUUGUAAAGUACUUUCAGCGGGGAGGAAGGGAGUAAAGUUAAUACCUUUGCUCAUUGACGUUACCCGCAGAAGAAGCACCGGCUAACUCCGUG